rnacentral:lncRNA from 1 species
UUCUUUUCUUUUCAAAAUUUGCUAAGUAUAAGGAACUUCCUUCCGUCUCCAAACCUCUUUCCUUUCCCUCUUAAUUGCCGAAUCCAUAUACCCCAAAUUUAUGUCAAAAUAUAUUCUACUGGGCUCAAGUUUAAUCAUCAAGCAUAUCAAGAAGAGAAAGUUUAUGGAGCUUAAAUCGGCAAUAAUUGGCAUCAAAGGCUAAUAGCAAGGGAAUUGUAACAAAGAAUGCAAAUUAGAUAGCAAUCAAAGAGGUAAUUUUAUGUGUUUAUAUUGUAUUUGCAUAAAAUUAUGUACGUGUAUAUUUGAAUAUGGAUUCAAUUGCAUUAUUGGUUGUGAAUCUGUGGUGAUUAGAUUGCGUUCUGUUAAGGAAGUUUUGUGCAGGACAUAAGGUGUAAUAAUGAAGCUAAAAUGGGAUGAUAACACAAAUAAAUGGGUUGAUAACACAAAUAAGUAAAUGGUAAUUAGUUAUGAUUGUUUUAGAGAGGGUAAAGCUGAGAAAAAGUUAAAAACUGUUAUGAUUGGACAUUUUUAAAUUCUGUUUUGGGCUGCCUAUGAUGUCUAAAAUGGGUGGCUUAUAUUUUCUAAAUAUAUUCUCUUAUGGUAUCUACAAUAUAUCCAAAAGUGGGGGCAAACUAACUUAUGAAUUAAAAACUACAAAAUCGCAAAGUGGUCUCCUCGUGAAGAGGGCUGCUGCCCAUAGCAGCGGCGUGCAGCGGCAACGCACUGCAAUGGCAGUGCUUGGAGGCUCCUUUGAGCUCUCAGUUGACCCAUUUAAAUUACUCAAAAUGUUUGGAUAGUAUUUUUCCAAAAUAUGUGGGUAUAGGUUUAUUCAAAACUCAUUGGAAUCGGAUUAAUGAAUUAUGAAAUAAGAGUUAGCAAAUCUAGUGUCAAGGCAUGGCAUGGGGAGGUGGCUGUCGGCAGGGCCACGCAAGGCCAAGAUGCCCAGCCAUGGAACUGUUUGAUUUUCGCUAUGCAUUUUUGGUAAUUUUAUCAAGUUUAACUUCUGGUAAUGAAUUACUAUGAAAUUAUAACACAUUAUAAUAGUUACGUAAUGUAUAAACUUGUUACAAUCAAAAGAUGACCUAUAAAUACGCAAAAAUAAAUCACAAAUAUAUCAUUUAACAUUGAGUUUACAAAUUAAGGGAUGAAAUGUUCAUGGAAUGGGUUAUAAAUGGGUUGUAACCACAUAUAUAAGGUAUUAAUGUGCUAAAAGCUAUGUUAAAACCUUUUGAGCAAAUAAUGGCUAAAGAAAACCAAAGUCUAAAAGGUUAUAAAUGAAUAUAAAAGUUUUUCAAAAACGAAAAAACAAGGGAUGUUGAAAUAACCUAUGGGUGGGAUUAUAUAGAUACAAGCGUACAUGUUAUAUAAUCUUAAGUUUGCGUAUAGAAUACGAAUCGUUUAUGUAAUGAAUUAUAGAAGGAAUACGUUGACACCGUUAAAAGCUACCUUAAAUGUAAAAGUACUAUACCAAAUGAAAAUUGACAAAAGAUAUACAUCAAAAACAAAUGGUUUUCGAUAUACAAAACAAAGAUUAUGAAAAAGAAAUCAAAAGUUGGUUAAAUGGCAUAUGUAGGUACAUGAAUAAAUGAUUAUAAUCACAAGUCAUGUACAUACAUAAGAUGAAUAGAUAUCAUAUGUAUAUCUAUGAGCUAAACGAAUAAGAUAUGACUUUACUUUGUAAUUAAAGUAUAUACGUGAAGAAUAUAUAUUUCAUUAAUAUGUAUACGUUAAGCGUGUAAAGCAAAUAUACACACAAAAUGGGAAUACAGUUCAUGUAGUAUACUCGCGAAAGUAAAAGUGACUUGUAGAGUUAUUUGAAAUAAAGCUAUGCAUGUUAUGUAACCUCAAAUUUGCAAAUUGUCUAUCAAAUAGGUUAUGAAUAAAGGACAUAAUAGUUUUAUAUUUCAAAAGCUAUUUUGAAAUAUUUGGAAUCUAAAACUAUUAUGUCAAAUAAAAGCUUCAAAUCGAAAGAUAAGCUAUGAAUACGCAAGAAAAAGAGAAAGAACAAGUACGCUAUAUAAGCUCGAGUUGACCGUGAAAUUGGUUAUAAAUAAUUUAUAAACCAAAAGUAUAGAGUAUUGAUAUACUAUAGUUAUGCCAAAGUCUUUUUGGCAUAAAGUAGUUACGACAAGCAAAAUAUUUUAAAGGAACGCGAAAGGAUUUCAAGAUGAGAAUAAAAAUAUUAGUUAAUAAAAAGCAUCGUGUGGUCUAUGUGGUGAUUUAAUAUACAUACAUGAAUACAUGUUAUGUGACAUUAAUGAGUAACUAAUGUAUGUAUAUAUGUGAUCUUAAUUAUAUAGGUUUUUUGUAAGACCCCAACUUUUAUGAAUAAAGAUGAAAUUUUUUCUCAAAAUAUAUUUUUGAAUAUUAUGGUGUGGAUUUGAUAUAAUAUUAUAUUUGUGAGUAAUAUUUAUAAAUUUUACAAAGUAAGCAAGUUGUUAUAAAAUAUUCGAUUGGUCAGGAAAUAUUCGUUUUAACAGGGAAUAUUUGUACGAUGACACAAUCAUUGGUAGACCCCACAACGGAAUUAUUGUCGGAGUUAGAAAAUGACAUAAAUAUCUUUUUAUAAAAAUAACGGUGAAAGUUUUACCGUUAACUAUUGAAAUACCCGGUGACAAAAGUACAGUAAUACGCGUGGUUGCAUAGUAGCAUACGGUAUUUGAUGCUUACGUGAGAAGUCACUCAGUUAUACUCAAUUAUUGCUAUAGUAAUUACUGCAUAGUAUCUCACGUUAUUGAUUCAAUUAUUGUCACAAUAUUUUAUAUUAUUAAAUCAAUAAUUGAGAUGACAAAAUUAUUCAUAAUAUUAUUUGCAUUAUUAACGAUGUCUAGAAAGUUCUGUCGAGGAAAGGGGUUUGGUCACCUAAUUGCACACCAAUAAGGAGAAAUCCUUAUCGGAAAGCCCCCUCUUUCCUGGGAAUGAUCUGGUUGUUAAUAUUGUAAGUUAUAUUAUUGAUGAAUAAAUGUUGUUAAAAUAUUUAGGGGAAUUUUAUGAUGUAUUUGUUGUAAGUUUGACGAUUAUUUGGAUCCCCCACAUACCCAUUUUUCAAAGCUGUCGGUAGAAGUUAUCUCAGUUUUGUUUUAUAUAUAUUUAUAUGUAUUAUAUAUAUAUAUAUAAAUAAUAAUAAUAAGUUUUGUUUUUUUUAUAAAAAUAGAAUAUAUUAUAUUUUAUUAUGCAUAGUAUUUGCAUAGUGUCUGUUUAGUGUUUGCAUAGUAACUCAUAAAUUUUCAAUCGAACGAAUUCGGCGUCCGUGAAACUUCUGCACUGUGCGCCCGUGAUUAUUUUUAAAUAGUAUCCUUCCAUUCUCCUAUAAAUAAGAUGCUUAGUUUAGAAUUGAAAAUCACACCAGAAUCAGAGAAUUCUUCUUCUAUAAUAUUGAGCGUAUUUUUUUUUGAGUUUAAGGAAGCUUUGAGUGUAGAAAAUAGUGAAAGUUUUCUUCAAAAAUAUCUCUGCUAUACCAGUCAGAAAUACUCUCCUUUUAAAGUAAGGGAUAUUAUUUUUGUUCAAUAUUUGUAUGCAAUAAUAUUUUCUUCCAUACUCUGUAGUAUGUAAGUAAUAUUAUUUCGUUUCAGAUUCUGAAUUCUACACUCAUUUUGUUAAAGUAUUGCUUAUAUACUCCUUAAAAUUAGUGGAAUAUCCUUGAAAUUUGCGUUUCAUCUAGUAUCGUUCCACUAAAAUAUUUUUCUGGACAUUUUUGAUAAAUUUUGAUCUUUUCAUGCCGGGGUACUAUUCUCGAAGUACUAUUCACGAGGUACUAUUCACUCGGGUAUGAUAGGUAUAAUUUUAUUUUAUAUUUUGAUGAUAACAAUUAUGUUUUUAAUAAAUAUGUAAUUAUUUAUUUAUUAUUUUCUGUUUUACUUGAAUUAAUUUUUAUUGACCUUGAUGUAUUAAAUGUCAAGUGUUAAAUAAAUUAAUUCAUAUAAUAUUCAAGGCAAGGAAACCCUAUUUCUUUUUCUAAACUAAAGUUUGGCAAAAUAUUUUUAUAUAUACUAAAACAUAAUAUAUAAUAAACUUAUAUAUAUAUAUAUAUAAGAUAAAAUUUUAAUGCAUGCAUGUGCUGCCAUUUGUGUUAAGUGUUAAAAACCCGUAUAUAUAUAUAAGAAAUGCAUGCUAGCAGACAUAUGUUACAAUACUUAAUAAUAUAUAAUAUAUAAGUAUAUGCAUGUGAUAUGUUGGCAUGUUUGAUACCUUAAUUAUGGGACAUCAAAACCGUGUGAGUUUGCUGCUUGAAAAAUUUUCGGUCAAAAUUGAACAAUAAAUGGCAGCACCUUGAAAAUGGCCCAGGUGAAUUUCUAAUCUCUCACGCGUAAAAAUCUGGUCCGUUAAAAUUCAAACGUUUUUAUCUAAACCGUAUACUCAUAUCAGAUUUCAAAAUAUUACAAUUUUGCCCCCAACUUCUAAAAAUUCUAUAAAUAGGGAGUAUUUCAUUCAUUUGGUUUUUACCAAUUUAGUGAAAAGAAAAUCAUACUCUUCUUGCCUACAUUCUCUCUAAAAAUUUAUAUAUCUUCUUACAAAAGUUCUGAUUAUUUUUGAAGAGAAAAAUUGGUCCAAGUAUUGAGAUAAGUUUAAUUUCUGUUGAAUUAUUUCUUACUUGCAUUAUAUUUAUAGAUAUACAAAUACAUAUUAUUCUACACAAUUUUAUAUAUCUAUAUUUCAUCUAUUUAUCAAAUAAAAGGAUACUUGGGCACCACAAAGCUACGGAGAUACACCUUUAUAGAGAGGAAUUCGAACCGUACGAUUCCUUAUAGUUUUCAAUAACCUUUUAUUGAUAUUAUUUAUAUAAAUAUCGUAAAAUAGAUACGACACUUGAUAGCUCAAAACGACAAUGAGAUACUGUUCCAAAAAGAGUAGUCAUCCGAACUGGAUUUGAGAAUCGUUGUGAUCUAUUGAAAAUAUUUAUAUAAAUAUCAAUUGUAAAAAUUAUAAAUUUUGUCAUACUUAGACGUCGCAAGGCUACAGAGAUACACCUCUACCAUGAGGAAUUUGAACUGUACGAUUCCUUAUAGUACUAAGUGACAUUAUCUAUAAAAAUUUACAUAAUAGAUAAAAUAUUCUUAUAUAUUAUUUGAGUUAAAUAAGUAAUAUUUGUUAUAUCAGUUUGUGCUUAACUGAGAUUAUACUUGAUAAAUAUUGUUUAAAUUCGAUUUAUUCUCUUAUUCAAGUAUUGAUUCAUAAAAAAUAAAUUAUAAAAUACUUGGUAAAAAUUAACUAAGAAACAAUUCUAUAUUAUCCAUAGAAAAAUAAUCUUUAUUUUAUAGAAUUGUUAAUUUUUUAUAAAGUGCUUUAAUAUCAUAUACUUGCUUAAUCAGAAGCAUAAGUGAAUCUAAACAAAAGUUCUAUCUGCUUUAAAGAAGUUUAUUAUUGAAUAUAAAAGUCCUUGAACUUUUAUACUGAUAUAUUUGUUCUUAAUUCUCUAUCUGCUUAUUUGAGAAGCAUUAUUCAGUACUUAACUCUUAUCAGCUUAUUGAAGAAGCACUUUGUUGUAAACUUAUUUGUAACCAGAGAAAGGAUUAGAGAUAGUUUAUUUGUGAGAAAAACGAGUAAUUUUCAACAAAGACCAGAGUCUUAGAGAGGUCAGCAGGAAGUUGGGUCUCUAGUGUACUUGUGAGGUGAGGAAGAGACUGUUGUUUCAAGACCAGAUCAUAGAAUAGAACUAAUCUCAAAAAGUGGUACAACUAGACUUGAGGAAGGAGCAAAAAGCUUGCAGUCCAAGAUAGAAUAGUUGAAUAGUUGGAAGUUUGUUUGUAAAACUUUGUAAAGGCUUCUCCGCCUGUUGAAGGAGUAAUUAUUACUGAUAGUAAUAGGAUCUCAAGUUCUAAGUAGGGACUUGAGACUGGACGUAGCAACAUAACAAAGGGUGUGUGUUGUGAACCAGAUAAAUCUCUGUGCACUGUGAUUGAAUUUUUAUUAUCUUGCAUGCUAAUUACUAAAAACUGCUAAUUAAUAACUAAAACUUUAAAAAGGCUUAAAUAUAUUUUUUUGAAGUGAUAAUAAUCUAUUCAACCCCCCCUUCUAGAUUAUUAUUGACCUUUCAGGGUACUAUUCACCCGGGGUACUAUUCAUGACAGAAAUUAAUUUUUUUUUCGUCCAAAUCAUUUUUGAUACAAUAUUAUUCAUUUUACUCCACAAAGCAGUAUCAUGUUGACAAUUUGGACAUUAUUAAAUUCUGAAUAAAUUGAAUUAUAAAUCAUUAAAAUUUAUCCUUGCUCUCAUUUAAUUGAAUUCUUAUAUCAUUGUCAUCAUCCUCAUGUUUAUAUUAUGAUGAAAGUCAUCUUUGGCCCGUAGUGCAUAGAUGGACUGUUAAUUGGUAUGAUUAUGAUAAGGGAUUAUUUGGUAUAAUCAUGACCUGUAAUAUUACAAAUGAUGUGGUAAAAGUCCUCAUUGGCCGUAGUGCUUUGAUGGACAGUUGUUGGCAUGAUCAUGACCAUUGGUGAUAACACAAAUAUCCUUGGCCCGUAGUGCUUGGAUAAUUCGUGGACGUGAUACUAAUGAAUAUCCUUGGCCCUUAGUGCAUGGAUAAUUUAGUGAUGUGGAUUAUUUAUUGAGCUAAGUCUCAGCGAUAAAAUUGAGGAUACACUUUAAAAUCAUAGAAGAUAAUAUAUAGAUAUCAUGCUCUACUUGACUCUUCUAAUGGAUUGUUUAUUCCAUUGUAGUUAAACUUGUUGUCUAUUAUAGUCUAUCAGUUUAACAUUGUUGAAGGCUAACGAUAACUUAUUUUGCAUUAUUUUAGUCAUAAUAUUUCUUAAUGGGCUAGUUGAGCUCACCCUUUACUUUCAUUGUUCUCUUCAGGAAAUGAGAACGUAGUCGGGACUAGUCAGGGAAUAGAGUGAUGGUCCGAGAUAAUGGUUGUAGUAGUCCUCACUAUUUUAUAAAAUAGUGUGAUAAUAAUUGAAAUGAGGACUCCAUUUGAGUUUGGAUAUUGUCUAUGAGACAAUAUUUGUGUAAAAAUUCUCAGCUACGCUUUUGUCGUAUUAUAUAAAUUAAGUUUGUAUUUGAAUUUUGUACCAUGUAUUUGGCGACUCAGAAUGGGUGAUGUAUACCUAUUUUGGGGGCGUCACAGUUGGUAUCAAAGCUUAAGGAUAUGAUCCCUAGCUGAGAUGUGAGGCUAGAACUAGGAGGGGAGAGACGGGUAAAUCCUUCGCUAGUAUGACCUACCUAAGUUUAAUUGUUAUUUAAUUGGUCGGUUAGAAUAUAGGGAUUAAUAUGUGGCAUGUCAAUUAACCCUUGUUUUGUGAAAGUGUUUGAAAAUGACAUCUGAAAAUGUUGAGAUAAAAAAUGGGGCACAGGAGACCGUUGAGUCACCACAGAUCAAUAACCAGGAUAAUGUGCAUCAAGAAGGCAACAAUCCUCAUGGAAACAACAACAUCGACCAAAUGAUGAACGAUGGGAUGUUCAGAGGCUGUAUGCAAUUCAUGCAACAUCAGGCGAGAGAGACUCCAUUUCAAAAUGUAGGUGGAAAAACUAGCAAUUCACUGAUGGUCACUGCUAAGCAAUUCAAGGAGCUUGGACCACCGGAGUUUUUGGGAAAGCCAGAAUCACUUAAGGAAGACAAGUGGAUAAAGCAGAUCACCAAGAUAUUUGAUGUCUUGGGAUGCUCUGAGGAGCAAAAGGUUCCCUUUGCCACCUUCAUAUUGAGAGGAGAAGCAGAUUACUUGUGGGAAUCUGUAAAACGUACUCAACCUACCGCACUAAAGAUGUCUUGGGAGAAGUUCCAAGAACUGUUCAACGACAAGUACUUUUUUGAAAGUAUUUGUCACAUGAAAGAGGUGGAUUUCAUCAAGUUGAAGCAAAAAAAUAUGACCAUAUCGUAGUACGGGGCUAAAUUUGUAGAGUUAUCUCGGUUUGUAUCCCAUUUGGUAGAUAGUGAGGAACGUAUGACGCGGAUUUUUCUAUGAGGUUUGAAACUCGAAAUAUGUCAAUACCUCAUUUCUCACAAACUUUGCUUGUAUUUAGAUGUUGUGAAUAGGGCUCAGUUAUUGAAGCGUGAUAAUGAGUCAACCCAACCAAGAGAGAUUAGCCGAUAAAUCGAUAAUAGAAGUGAUAGCAGUCAUCGAAGCGGUGACAAUAAACGUGGAGGGAAUCAACAUGCCAGAUAUGGUAACCACUUCGGUGGUAAUCAUGGCCAAGACAAUAGAAGUUGAAAAAUUUCAAGAAUAGAAGGUUCAAAAAUGAGGGAAAGAUAGCAGCACCAGCACCCGUUUUCAAGGAAGGAGAAUGACUGCCGAUCGUAUGCUUCAAAUGCGGAGGGGAGGGACACAUCAGUCCAAAAUGCACAAUGCAGUCCAAAGCAUGUUAUAAUUGCGGAAGAGAAGGUCAUCUAACCCGAUUUGUCGUGUAGUGAAGUCAAGUCCAGCUAGGAUGGAGGCACCAAAGACCGUCCCAGAGAAGUCAAAACCAGUUGUUCAAGGGAGAACGUUUAUCGUGACCUCCCAAAAAGUGAGGAACUCGAACGAGCUUAUAAACCUUCAUUACAUCCACUGUUUAUAAGUCUUGUUUGAUUAAAAUCGGCACCCUCACAUUACCUGUCAAUGUUAUCUCUUUGAAAAUACUUGCAUUUGAUGUGAUUUUAGGGAUUGAUUGGUUAACUACUCAUCAUGCUAAAAUUGAUUGUUUUCGUAAGGUUGUUAGCUUUCAUAUUCCUAACCAACCUAUUAUGCGAAUUCAAGCAACCAAACCACUAAAGUCAAUCACUGUUAUAUCAAGCCAUAAAGCUAUUCGUUUAUUGAAAAAUGGAUGUCAAGCUUUCUUAGCCCAUGUCACGAAUUUAAAUAAAAAUACGUCAGAUUUGACUGAUAUUUCUAUUGUUAAUAAAUUUCCUGACGUAUUCCACGAAGAACUUCCUGGCCUACUCCCAGAGAGUGAAAUCAAAUUUUGUAUCGACCUUGAACCCGGUACAAAACCCAUUUCCAAAGCCCCAUAUCGAAUGACUAAUAUUGAACUUUAAGAGUUAAAAACCCAACUGCAUGAAUUGUUAGACAUCGGUUUCAUUCGUCCUAAUACGUCUCCUUAGGGUGCUCCUGUUCUAUUCGUAAAGAAGAAAGAUGGGAGUAGGCGACUUUGUAUUGAUUAUUGGGAGUUGAAUCAUGACACCAUCAAAAAUAGGUACUCGUUGCCUCGCAUUGAUGACCUGUUUGACCGGUUGCAAGGCGCUAAAUUCUUUUUAAAGAUCGAUCUUCGUUCUGGAUAUCAUCAGUUAAAGAUUAAAACAAAUGACAUUCCAUAGACUUCUUUUGGAACUCGGUACGGGCAUUACGAAUUCCUAGUUAUGUCUUUUGGAUUGACUAAUGCUCCUGCUGCCUUCAUGGAUAUGAUGAACCAAGUAUUCAAGGAAUAUUUGGAUCAUUUUAUGGUUGUCUUUAUUGAUGACAUCCUCAUAUACUCCAAAAGCCGUGAAGAUCAUGAACAACACUUGAGGCUGAUACUCCAAAAGCUUUGUGAAAAUAAGCUAUAUGCCAAGUUGAAGAAAUAUGAGUUAUGGCUUGACGAAGUAACAUUCCUUGGGCACGUGAUAUCAAAUCACGGAAUAUCUGUUGACCCAUCGAAGUUUGAAGCAAUUUAAAGCUGGGAGCAAGCUAAGUCAGUGACCGAAGUACGUAGCUUUUUGGGCUUAGCUGGUUAUUAUCGGAGAUUCGUAGAAGGAUUUUAUCGAAUUGCUACUCUAUUAACUCAGAUGACUCGAAAAGAUAGAAAAUUCAGUUCGAGAGAGGAAUGUGAGAAGAGUUUUCAAGAACUCAAGAGGAGACUCAUUUCAGCACCUGUUCUAACAAUACCAUCUAGUUUGGAGGGAUUUGUCAUCUACAGUGAUGCUUCAGGCAGAGGGUUAGGAUGUGUUCUCAUGCAACAUGGGAAAGUCAUAGCCUAUGCCUUACGACAACUCAAAGAAUAUGAGAGGAAUUAUCCUACUCAUGAUCUAGAGUUGGCAGCAGUCGUUUUUGCACUUAAAAUCUGGAGGCAUUACCUGUAUGGGGAGAAAGUGGAGAUCUAUACAGAUCAUAAAAGCCUCAAAUAUUUCUUCACCCAAAAGGAACUCAACAUGCGGAAACGACGUUGGCUUGAGCUGUUGAAAGAUUAUGAUCAUACCAUUCAAUACUAUCCUUGAAAAGCGAACGUGGUAGCUGACGCGUUGAGUAGAAGAUCAUAUGCGGGUACAAGUGCGAUAUUUUCAACGCAAAGGCCCAUUUUGUAUGACUUACAAAAGAUGGAGAUAGAGUUAAAAACUCCAGGGACCCACGUGAUGGUGUCAAAUAUACGAGUAGAACUGACUUUAAUCGAUAAAGUUAAAGUUGCUCAACUUAUGGACCUGGAGCUGAUGCGUAUGAGGAAGAUAGUACAAGAAGGUGCUAUUCCGAAAGUAAGAAUCAAUGCAAAAGGAAUACUUCGAGUGAACUCCAGACUUUGUGUUCCUAACGACCCUGAUUUGAAUUAUAAAAUCAUGAUGGAGGCACACAACACACCGUUUGCAAUCCAUCCCGGAAGUACCAAAAUGUAUCGUGAUCUUCAACAUACAUUUUGGUGGAGAAAUAUAAAGAGAGAGAUCACGAAGUUUAUCUCAAGGUGUUUAACUUGUCAACGUGUCAAUGCGGAGCAUUAAGUGCCAAAAGUGCCAUUGCAACCACUUGAAAUUCCAGAAUAAAAGUGGGAGCACGUUACCAUGGAUUUUGUUAUUGGUCUUCCCCAGGUUUCUCAAGGCAUAGAUGCAAUUUGGGUCAUUGUUGAUAGAUUAACCAAGUCUGCCCAUUUCUUACCUAUACAAGAAACUUAUUCACUUGAACGUCUUGCUCGUAUAUACAUAAAUGAGAUUGUAAGACUGCAUAAUAUGCUAGUAUCCAUAGUUUCUGAUUCACUUCACGAUUUUGGGUUAUUUUACAAAAAGCUAUGGGCACGGAUUUACAAUUUAGUUCGGCAUAUCAUCCUUAAACGGAAGGCCACUCAGAGAGGACUAUUCAAACUCUUGAAGAUCUAUUAAGACUCUGUGUCCUUGGCUUCAAAGGAAGUUGGGACAAGUUCUUGCCAUUAGUGGAAUUCUCCUACAACAACAAUUAUCAAGCAAGUAUUGGCAUGGCUCCAUUCGAGGCGUUGUAUAGACGCAAAUGUCAUUCUCCAGUAUGCUGGGAUGAGGUGGGUGAAGUAAUGUUGUUGGGACCGGAAUUGGUAUGUAUGACUACGAAAAAGAUUCAAAAGAUCCGAAAAUGUAUAAAAACCUCACAAGAUCGACAAAAGAGUUAUGAUGAUCUUCAUCGAAAAGACGUGGAAUUCAAUGUUGGAGAUCAUGUAUUGUUACGUGUUGCUUCAUGGAAAGGAGUUACAAGAUUUGAAAAGAGAAGAAAGCUCAAUCCUCGAUUCAUCGGACCAUUUGAAAUCCUUAAUCGAGUAGGAACUGUGGUUUACCGCCAAGUAUGUCUCGUGUUCAUAACGUUUUUUGUGACACCCCUAAAAUAGGUCCAAUCCAUCUAACCCAUUUUGAGUCGCCAAAUACAUGGUACAGAAAAUAACUACAACUUUAUUACUACAAUUGUCGUGCAAAAUACAAAAACACAUAUGUUGUGAGUUUUGAUACAAAUAUAUACCAACUGUAACUCUAAUCCCAACCUUGGAUAGUACGUCUCAAUGGCACCUUACAUAAAGGUACAGUCAAUAACUGUUUUAGAAAUUAAAAUUUUUGGGAAGUGCUCAAGGAAACCUUCGUACAUGGGAGGGCAUGUCUAGGUUAUGAUAGAUAUCAUAUGCCCACAGAAUUAUCCUUGGUUAACCCAAUAGACCCAAAAAAAAAUGAGAAGAUUACUAUCAUGUUCUUUCCAAUGGUGAGUUUUCUCUUGACAUAUAACUAUCUCCACGGUCUGCAAUUGAAAAUUAUAUUUCAACCAAACUCUAAGAUUAUAUAGGUAGUGCUCGUAGAUAUACUCAGCAAGUGGAUUUGCACAACCUUGUCUUAUGAUAACACGAGUUUGUAUGUCAUUAGACAUCUUGUAUGAUAGUGGCAAAACACCCUUCCAACGUUGGGUUCGCCUCACCCUAUUGUUGUUCACCAAAAUCAAUUAUUAAGUAACGUAUAAUAUACGACACACACAUCUUAGGUCCUCAAUACAAUUAUAUAUUGUAUGCACCAGUACAAAGUACCAAAUAGACAACACUUAAACCACAACGUUUUUUAUAAAAAUGUUGUGGUAUUUUUUUUUACAACAUUUUUAAAAAAAACGUUGUAGAUAUAUAUGCACAAAUGUUAUCUAUUUAAAAGGGCAUUUUUUUGGUGUUAACUAGAACGUUUUUUUAAAAACGUUGUCUAUCAAGAAAAACAUGGAGCUUUAAAAAAUCUCACUGAAGUGAAAACUUAAAUAAUAAGUAUCACUCUUAUCAGUAUUUUGCCCUAGCCCGCUCCCAGUCUCCAAGCCAGAUCUGAAAUUUCUCAGCCUUAACCAGAGGAUUCUCCCUCGCGAUUGCCUUUCUCCCUGCUGCUUUGAAAUUGAAGGCGUAGCCAUGCUGUUCUGGGUACCUGUGAGUCCCACAAAACGUUGUCCCACACCUGCACAUGAAACCCAUCAGCCCGACCCUCUUCCGGCACGCUGAGCACCGGUUCAGUCGGACCACCUGCUCUGCAACCGUUUCUACCGUACAAACCAACCGAUCGAGAGAAUUUUCUGACAAGGACACCGCCGAUGAAGACGGCAAAACCACCGCCGGAGCUGGAGACAAUUAAGGGUUCGGGUAGUGGAAACCUUUGGGUUCAGGAUGCGAUUUUAGUGCUGCAAAUGGAAACAGUCGCUGCUUUUUGAUCUUCUAUCAAAGUUGCACCGUAUGAAUUUGCCAGAUCCGUUAUUUUGAUAUCAAGCUUACCUGAUUUCGCUCGGCUCUACACCAAAUCAUGGAUUAAGGUAAUACUUUACUUGAUAAUAUAUAGUAUUUGAUUAUUGUAGAGUUUUAGGUAAAAGUUGAAUUAAGCCGGUUUGUAUUUAACCUUGUUGGGUAAAAGUUGGAUUAAGCUGGUUUUGAGCUUGAAGGGAGCAUAAUAUGAUAGUUCUGGUUCAAAAGGUUGACUUGGUUCUUAGAUUUUUCUAUCCAGUUCAAAAUUUAUGUUCUAUUGGAAGGCUGAUUGGGUGAAAUAUAUCCCACUAGUUCACCCAAUGUACCCUCUUUUCUUACAGAAGCCAUAUAUACUUUCAGUUGACAUGUUAAAACUAUGGUCUUCAGUUAACAAUUGUUAUUCAUGUUAACAUGUCUAGCGUAGGGUUGCCUCCUGUGCCAUCUUUGUAGAAGCAUGAAACAUCCCCAGGUAAUACAUAAUUUUAUCUUAAUUUGGGGACUUUCCCUAUUAUAUAUCAGUUUAUUGCUGGUAAAUCAUUGUGGAGGACAUAUAUUUUGGUGAAUUUGGAGAACUUAACUUAGAUACUCACUGGAUUUUUGAUUCGUCAAAGAAAUAAUUGCUGACUGGACUUUUGAGAAUUUACCUGUUUGUGAUAUAAUAAUGAACAACAGUAUGUUGCAAGACUUGGUGAUGUUUCUGUAUGAGCUUGCACUCUAUUAAUAAUUACCUGCACUGGGCUAAUGAUUUUCCAGGUCAAAAUGGAGAUAUUCAAUCACCAAAGAGACUUUGCACUGAUCAAAGCGUAUUAGUAGAGCGGAAUUUCUUCACAUCACCAGUGAAGGAUCGCUAAUGUUGUAUAUAUGUUUUAAACAACAAAAUAAAGGUUUUUGACUGGUUGAGGCUUAAAUUGUGUUGAUAAAUUGCCGGAUUAUGGUCUCUCACUUUUUGAUUGAAUUCUUAGUGGAUUUUGGUCUUGGUACAAAUUAUUCUUUUAGAGAACUACUGUAGUCUUCAUGUUCUAAAUGAUUGUCCUGUUUGCUAAUUCUAUUUCUCUCUCAUUCUAAUCUCAGGCGAAGGUACUGGUCUACUUCGUCUCCACAGUACAUAUCGUCAUGAUCUAAAAAUAUAUAGUUCAGAUGAGGGCCGUGUAUAGGUAUACUUCUGAAAUAUUUAUGGGUUUAUUUGUAUGUGUUUGAGCACUAUCAUGCUGUGCUCCUAGUGUUUACUUGUAUUUUGAUCUUUACUUUAGUUUAUUAUCAUAUGAGCUCUUCUCCCACUUGUUGAGCAACUUGUACAUAGCUUACCUCAGACUUUCAUGUUGUGUAUGAGCUGAAACAUUGAUUGAAUAUUUACUGACAGAUGUUUGCGGCUGCCUUCGCAAAAGGCCUCCUUGAUUUAGAAGGACAAUUAACGCCAAUCCUGGUUUGUAGCUUGUUCUCAGAAAUUUGUGUGUUUGUUGACUUGUACUUUAGAUGACUGACAUGCUAUACGCUAUCUUCUAAAGGUUUCACUUGUCAGCAAGGACUCCUCUAUGUUGGAUGGACUUGAUAAUGCCAGUAUUGAGAUGGAAGAAGCUAAGGUUUUUCCUUCUCCUACCGCAUUAUGUUGCUAUGCUUUUAUAUGAAGUUAAAUAGCAAAAUUGUAGAUCUGGUUAUAGAUACAACACUGUCAAACUAUUACUAAGUUGGAGUCAAUUGAAUUGUUGGAAUUUUGAGAUGUAUGAUGGCGCUAUUUGCUUGUUAAUAUUUUUGACCCAUCUUAUUUUGGGUGUCAUUAGAUCAAAAGAUUGGCACAGCGUUAUACUUAGGAUGUUUAAAAUUAUUCUAUAAUGACAUUUUUCUUAUAUUAUCCCCCCCAAACUUUCGUCCCAAGCUAGGUUGACUGACAUAAUUACCUCUGGAGCAAAGACAGUUCAUAACAACGGAUCACCUGCAAAACCUUGGAUGGCUGAUGGGGCUGGACUUCCUUCAAAUGCUUCUGAACUUCUCCUGAUAUUAGUAAGUCCUGAUAUAUACCGCUUCUCAAGUAGUUUUUCAGACAUAUAUCACUACUCUUAAUAACAAAUUGUUGUUCCUUUUGCAAACUUCUUUCCAAAUUGGUCGAGGUUUUAGUAUCUACUGCUUAUUAAUAUAACUUUGUAGGUUCAUUUCACUAUUUAUUAUUUUAAGAACUUUCCAUAGAGCCCUGAAAUUCUAGUGGGAGUUGUUCCUGAGGAAUACUCUAUAUAUCGAUACAUCUCUAUAUAGAUAUGUACUAAUCUAAUCAGCCAGUAGUUCAUGAAGUCCUUGGAUUAUCAAAACAUUGUUGAAUGUUUCUUAUUAAUAUCUUCUUUAAUUUUCCUUGGGAGUUGUUGAAUGUUUAAUUUAUUUCUGGGGAUGACCAUGCUAUGCAAUUCUAGCCAGGUAAAUCUGUUCUUAAACACUAAUUAGCUUGAUUUUGUUAUCUACAGGAAGUUGCUAUUAUGGUGAUGGAAUUAUACCCAUUAUAGUUUCUGAUUACUUGUAGGAAAGAAAGUGCAGUUCUCUAGGUAUAUCUUACUGAUUUUCAAUUAUAAUUUUAUUUCAUUUACUUGUAGAAUUGUUGUGCGUGUAUUUAGAAAUUUCAGACUUUAGAAAGGAAAUGUUAGGUUGUUAAGAAGUGACAGUGAACUGAAGGAACUUCUGUCUUUCUAUAGAGAAGCUAAAGGCCUAUCUGCCAUGGAUGGUUUAGUUUUUUAUUGCAUAUUGGAUUCUGUUUUUUUAUAUAUGCUGCAUAUUAAAUGCCAAGUAUUCUCUUUCAGGUUUGUCAGAAGCUUUUAGGGCGGGAACUUGAGC